UAAAUCACUGGAGCCAGAGCCACGCCCUCGUUGCCCCCGCAACCAGAAGGAAAAACAGCGCAAGGGAGGGAGCACGUGGGGGAAAGGCUGGGGCAAGCAAGAGGGGGGCAGAGAGAGAGAGAGAGAGAGAGAGAAAGAGAGAGAGAGGUUUGUUUGUAUACCUAGCAACGGUACAAAUCCUUACCGCUGUUCUCCCUGUGAAAAGUGGGUGAAGAAGCGCACUUUUUCAGGCUGGCUUACGUGGGAAUGACAGUGAGUAUUAUUCGGUUAUCUCCUAAAUAUUGCCCGCAGUGUGCAUUACCUGGGUGACCACAGGCUUACAUUAGCUUCACGCUAGUUAGGUAUGAGACCUUCACUCUAUCCCACUUAAACAAUCAUGGCUGAUUAAGAAUUCUACUUUUAUAUCUGAAUAUAAAGUAAUUAUGCUGGCAUGUUAUAAAAGUGGGAUAUAGAAGACACUGCAAUUAUUCAAAGCAUUGUGGUAAUAUAUUGAAAACACCCCUGGCCUACAUGUAAACAGGGGUGUAUCCAAAAGGGGGGCCAGAGGGGAGCCCCCUCCCCAAAAUGUGACCCGGGAGGCGGGGUCCAAAAUCAAAGAUUGGCCGUUUGCCCUCUCAAAAGUGGGACUUGAGUCAACAUUCACCUAUUUGGGAUGCAUUAACAGACUGUAUCUUUUUUUCUAGUACUUCUUACUGUUACUCUAGACAAACAUCCUCGAAACAGAUAAAGCUCAGGAAAUGCUGUAUUGACACUCUAAUAUGUUUCUUAAUAAAAUAAAAUAAUAAAUCUCUGGAGUAUCACAGCUGAUAGUAAAAUGAGAGUUGAUGAAGUAAAUAGUGAAGGCUUAGACUGAAAACGCUAUCAGUUUAUGUGUCUACCCACACAUAACCCAGACCAUGACCAAAAACACUGAAAACGCUGGCGUACGUGGGAAUAACAGUGAGUAUUAUUCGGUUAUCUCCUAAAUAUUGCCCGCAGUGUGCAUCACCUGGGUGACCACAGGCUUACAUUAGCUUCAUGGUAGUUGGGUAUGAGACCUUCACUUUAUCACACUUACACAACCAUGGCUGCUGAAGAAUUCUACUUUUAUUUCUGUAUAUAAGAUAAAUAUGCUGGCAUGUUAUAAAAGUAGGACGUAGAAGCAUUGAGGUAAUAUCUUUUGUCCACAUCAGCAAGAGGCCGCUAUCCCCCCUUUGCUCACACUUACCUUGUAUUUUUUAAUAUAUAUUAUUUAUUAUUAUAUAUUUAAUAUAAUAUAUUUGUAUUUUACUAAUAAAGUCACAUUAUUCACUUGAUUUUCUUAUGUUUUACAUUCUAAAAUUAGUGAUAAACUUGCUGCUGCCAGACACUUUUAGCAGGCCUACAUCUAGCCAAGGGUGUAUCCUAAAGGGGGGCCAGAGGGGAGCCCCCUCCCCAAAAUGUGACCCGGGGGGUCUCCAAAAACAAAGAUUGGCCGUUUACCCUCUCAAAAGUGGGACUUGAGUCAACAUUCAUCUAUUUGGGAUGCAUUAACAGACUGUAUCUUUUUUUCUAGUACUUUUUACUGUUACUCUAGACAAACAUCUUCAAAACAGAUAAAGCUCAGGAAAUGUUGUAUUUACACCCUCAUAUGUUUCUGAAUAAAAUAAAACAAUAAAAAAAAAAAUCUCUGGAGUGGAACAGCUUAUAGUAAAAUGAGAGUUGAUGAAGUAAAUAGUGAAGGCUAAGACUAUAAACACUUUUAGUUUGUGUGUAUACCCUCACAUAACCCAGACUGAGGGCUGCAUUGACCAAAAACGCUAAAUACAUGUAUUCUUUAAAUGAAUACGUAUAUAUAUAUAUAUAUAUAUAUAUAUAUAUAUAUAUAUAUAUAUAUAUACAUAUAUAUAUACACUAGCACAGCAAACAUGAAAGUAAUUCAACUAUAAUUCUUCAAAAUUGUCACUCACAAGUACCGAAUUAUUAUAACACAGCACAUGUUAAACAAAUGUGAUUUUAAAAACACAGAGAGGUCUAAUGCAUGAAAAACUUCACUCUUGUUUUCUGUUACGUCAGCUUGUCAGCUUUUACCUAACUUUAUGUAUUCCUUGCACAGUGUUGCCUACUGUCUAGAGACUCACUUCAGCAGUCCUGUAUGGGAAAAGACUCACCUGGGAACAUAAGAAUACUGAGACAGCUUAGCGUAGAGUUUGAAUUGGGUUCAGCCAGUGUUUGCUCAGAGCUAGCGAGCUAACACAAACCUCUCAGUCCAACAUAAUUAGACACAUUUACUCAAGAGUUCAGUGCGAGAGCAAACAAAGCGCUUGCCGCUGAUCCUGCUGCAUCAGGAUCUUGUCCGUUAGACAUGUCAACAAACAUACCGUCACUGCAACAGGACACAUUUACUGCCAGAGUAUGCUGGUGUCCUCAUUCAGAGAAUUUGAAUUGCAUGAAAGCCCCUUGCUUUGGUAGGCAAACAAUAACUGAUGGGAAAGAAAGAGAAAGUGAUUGCAUUGGGACAUUAUGAAGGGAAGUAUAUCCUGUUGAGCAAACUAUGAUUUAUUGUCUUUUUAUUUGACAUAAGACUCCUAAUCUUACUCAUAUCCAUCUGCUUUCUGUGGCUGUAUAUUGAAAAGUGAUGGCUUUAAUCCGACUUUGUUUGCACUCUAUCCCUUGUUCUUUAAGACCUGCUUCCUACUGCAGGUGAGAGCACAAUAGCAGCCAUGUCAUCAUAGCCAUAUUCUUUAUGGUGUGGGAUAAUAGUUUCGAAAACGAGCCUGAAAACAAAGGCUUGACUUUGACAACUGAGUUGCUUCACAUCCCAGUAAUGACAGAGAGUGCAGAAAAAGAGGGAAAAAGAUAAAGGGAGGGAAGAUGACACCACUGUGCGCUUUCCCUGACACAAUGAAGUCAUGGUGAUUUAGUAAUGCACACCAAACCCUUGUAUGGAAUAUGUUAAUGCAACACUUACAGCACUAACUGAGCGUUGUGAAGAGGAUAUGAUAGAACAAGUUGCAAUACCCUUCCCACGAUGAAUCAUUCGAUCAUUCAUCACACUGUUCCAGAUAUAGACUUUAUGGUAAAGGCCCUGCUGACACAAAUACAGAAACGGAUGAGGCGAUAUUGAUGUAAUGCUAUUGUAUCUUUAAGGAUAGCUUUUCAGCGGUCACUUUUUCCUUUCAUCAAAAAACAACAAAUGACCUUUGAGUGUUUUUUCUCUCUUUUUUUCCCCAGUGUGGAUCCAUCAUGAAAGUCAUGACACACUCUUGAAAAAGCAUCCUCUAAACAAUUACCCUUUCAAAGGUGAGCUCAGGUACUGUUCUUGGCAGAGACAAGAGUAUCGACGGCUUUUGACAUUCAAUAUUUUCAAAACAGUUACAGUGCAGUUGACAUGUUCAUAGGUUAUGCUAAUAUACAAAUCCAGAUCAAACUGGGCUGCUAAUCCCCUGCUAAACAUUGAUAUUAUCUUAUUAGAGAGUAAAUAGUCAUAGAAGUCGACUGUACCUCUCUUUUGCAUUUUGUCGUGCAUGUGACUGACACAGUUUUGCUCUGGUGUCUCUCGGUUAAGUUCCCCCCUCCUGGAAAGCACCCAAGAGAAUAUAAGCACCAGCGGAUCAUAACUCCAGAUAUUGAGGUUUGCAGUGCUCUCUUCCAGAUGCUGUUCAGUAAUUAAAAAAUAGCUUUCAUACUUUCCUUAAUUUUUUAAAGCUGAGUCAAUCAUUUUUGAUUCUUGGAGCUGCACUUUCUUCCAAUUCAUCUCACAUUAGCUGAUACAAUUAUACAUGUCUGUUUUUCUCGGUGCCAAAGACCAAAGCACAGACUUCUACAACAUAUUUUGUUCAUUUCCCUCAACACUUGGAUUUGAAACAUGGGGGAAUCAUGUCAAAAUAAUCAAAACUUAAACAAGUUUCCAACCAGUUGAUCAUUUUUGAGUAAUUGUCCUGGAAUAAAAGGAGGACAGAGAUGAUCACUGUUAUAUUACCGCAUCAAAGUGAUUUUCCUGCAGUCAUUUAAAUCCCUUUUACACAAAAAUAUAUUCAAUUUUCCAUAAAAAGUUAUGAAACUGUGAGGUUAACAAGAAGGAUCAUAAACACCAUAAUAAGAAUGGUUUUAAACAUAUCCCUCCUGUAAGUGGAGGAACCAUUUGCAGGUACUCAGGCUGUGCAGCUGUGACCACGACCCCUGAUGCUCGCACAAGCCAGUUAAUUGAUACCUCAUGAACGGCUCAAGUAAGACAAGCAAGAUGGCGACAUGCGGCUGUCUGCCAUGCCUUGUCGCAAAUUGGUAUUGUGCCGCCUGUGAUUAAGUCUGUUGUUUUUGACCGUGGUGCACUGUAAUACAUUCAUUUUAGCCACAAUAUGCACCAGCUGCUGCUUGAAAUCACCAUUCAUGUGGGUGUGUGAUGAACCUCUGGACAGAUUCUUGGUGAAAUCUGGUCAACACACAGACAUUUUACCAAAGUCUUUGAGUAGAAUUAGACAAACCAGUUUUUUAUACAUCUUUCAACUGUGGUUGUAGAUGUUUAUACAUUUAACCAACAAAAAACUUUUCACUGGAGAGUAGAUCGCCCUGCAGAAUCUUGUCCAUGCAGCGAUAAAAGAUGUUCAAUUUCAUGUUCGGUCGCUGGUUUGAUUCUCAUUUUUUCACCAGUGACCAAAAAAAAUCUGUUUCACAUUUUUGAAACAUAAAUAUGCUUAGUGGGGGUGGAUUUUCAUCAAACAUUCAAAUGACUCAUUGUUUUGCAUCUAUAAAGUAGUGCUAGUUUUCUGUAACAAGUUUUUGACUGGCUGCAUCUGAAGUUUGUUUCUCACUAAAUCAGAACUUUUCAGUCCAUGGGAAAGAUUAAAAUCACAGAUUUAAUGUAAUAGUUAAAACCACAUAGUCAGACCAUUGAAAAAAGAUUGUUUGACUCUAUUAUUUUUGAUCGUUAAAAAUACUCUGCCAUGUGAAGCAGACCUCAUGAGUUCAGGCCUUCGUUUUUGGCCUAUGGACUCAAAGACACCUGCUAAUGUGGUCAAGACAGCCUGGACACCAGCUAGCAGAGCUAAACACAUAAAUCAUCCCAGUGACAGAAAUUAGCUUUGGUCAUUUUUUUUUCUUUAAUACAAAAAAAGUCCUGUUUUUGUUUUUCCACAGGCCUACUGUCCUAACCCACAGUUGUGCUGUGAGAUGGCAUGCACAUGGAUGAGGUCUGAGUCAGUGGCUGUUUGUUUGGACAGUCCCAGCCAAACCUCUAUAGCUGGACAGGGCUGUGGCCACACUGGGAUGCAACCAACUCAAACUGAGCUUUCAUCACGUCAUAUAAUCUAGUGGUGGGAUUCCACAGAGUCAGGAAAAUGUACUUGAGAUACUGGGUGGUGGUCCUGGUCCUGGCCAUGUUUAAGGGCAGUGAAAUGGGCUCAGGAGAGGAAGCAGAAGGAAUGAAGAAUCAGCGAGUAACAGACUGAGAGGGAGGAGAGGGAGAGAGAGCUCCUGCCGGGCGGCAGGCUGUCCAGCCUCUGCCUGCCCUGGGAUUCCUCAGCAGCCUUAAAUAUGCCAGUUAUUUUUAACCAGCGACGUAACAGAGCCCAGCGCCGGCCCCCUCUGUUACAAUAUUUCCUUUCUGUCAGGAGGGGAAAUGGAGGGGAGCCACACUUCCUGGUCACAUGAUGUGGCCGAAUGAGAGGGGAAGUGGGGAAGAGUGAGAGAGGGGAGGAGAGGGAGUUUGGUUGCCUGCCCAUUACCCACACCAGCCCACAUUUUCACUCAGCACCUCCUUUCCCUCUAAGUCUAACCCCCACAGCUGGCCAGAUGAGGCAGUCUGUUUUAAUCAGAUGCUCAGACGUCACAAGCCAAAGCAGAGAUUGGCGUUCGUGAGCUGCGGAGGAAAUGAGAGAGCGGGUACAGCACAUCGGCAGACAGAGGGUUGAGGGGAGGGCCCUGUGACGUCAGGCCUAAGGACCCGCCAGGAUUAGAAGCCUCUAAAAAGAAAAGGACUGAGACUUGGGCUGCCAGAGCCGGAGAGAAUGUGUUUCUGUGUCUGUCUGACAUGGGAGAAUCAGGGACUUCCCAUGAGCUCACCUUGUUUACACACAGGGAACUUGGACUGGGUCACGUCUCAAUCUGUGCUAACCUCACAACCAAACCAGGAGAAUGAGUACCAGCUUCACAGCAGAGGCUGGAAUAUUGGCUGAUUCCAAAUCUAACAUCAUGGACAGAUGUAACCUGAAAUGGAUGAAAAUGUCAGCCCUUUUUUAGAUUAAAUACACCCACUCUCACCUGACAUUUUCCCCACUGAAAUAAAAAUCACUGUUUAAAAGUGUUGUAUGAUAGCAGUACUUUACUGUAGCUUCUCUGAAACCUACAAGUCACACUCCCAACAUCGAUUGAGUGACAAAAAAUUAGGGGUCAAUGCCAUUUCACUUGUCAUACUUGUUUUUAUGACAGAUUUAAGAUGGGUAUAAUGUUCAACAUUUUCAACACUUAAAUAAAAGUUCAAUUAAAAUAAGCUAAAAAGUAACAUUAGCACUGUCUUUAAAUAGUCCAUUGUCUUGUGUUUGCGUAGUUUCCAACCAAAAGACUCAAAGUUUAUCUAAGCUUGGGUUGUGCCAAAGCAAUAAUGACUAAAGUAGGUUUGUUUGAGAAGGAAAACCUGAUAUUAAAACAACCUUAAUGUUGAUGUAUUUCCAUCAAACCACGGUUAUUUCCAGAGAAAAGCAGCAUUAACAACAGAGGAUGAUUCAAAUCUCUUGACUUUAUGAUGCAACAAAGUUGAAA